GUGCCAGCCGCCGCGGUAAUACGGGGGGUGCAAGCGUCAAUCGGAAUCACUGGGCGUAAAGGGUGCGUAGGCGGUGCAUUAGGUCUGUCGUGAAAUCCCCGGGCUCAACCUGGGAAUGGCGGUGGAAACCGGUGUACUAGAGUAUGGGGGAGGGUGGUGGAAUUCCAGGUGUAGCGGUGAAAUGCGUAGAGAUCUGGAGGAACAUCAGUGGCGAAGGCGGCCACCUGGCCCAAUACUGACGCUGAGGCACGAAAGCGUGGGGGCAAACAGGAUUAGAUACCCUGUAGUCCACGCCCUAAACGAUGAAUACUAGAUGUUUGGUGCCAAGCGUACUGAGUGUCGUAGCUAACGCGAUAAGUAUUCCGCCUGGGAAGUACGGCCGCAAGGUUAAAACUCAAAGGAAUUGACGGGGGCCCGCACAAGCGGUGGAGCAUGUGGUUUAAUUCGAUGCAACGCGAAGAACCUUACCUGGGCUUGACAUGUCUGGAAUCCUGCAGAGAUGCGGGAGUGCCCUUCGGGGAAUCAGAACACAGGUGCUGCAUGGCUGUCGUCAGCUCGUGUCGUGAGAUGUUGGGUUAAGUCCCGCAACGAGCGCAACCCUUGUCCUUAGUUGCCAGCGGUUCGGCCGGGCACUCUAGGGAGACUGCCGGUGACAAACCGGAGGAAGGUGG
rnacentral:rRNA from 1 species